UACGUAGGGGGCAAGCGUUGUCCGGAAUCAUUGGGCGUAAAGCGCGUGUAGGCGGUCCGGUAAGUCCGCUGUGAAAGUCGGGGGCUCAACCCUCGGAUGCCGGUGGAUACUGUCGGGCUUGAGUACGGAAGAGGCGAGUGGAAUUCCUGGUGUAGCGGUGAAAUGCCCAGAUAUCAGGAGGAACACCAAUUGCGAAGGCAGCUCGCUGGGACGUAACUGACGCUGAGACGCGAAAGCGUGGGGAGCAAACAGG
rnacentral:rRNA from 1 species